UGCACUGACCCGUUUAUGACACCGCUGGGAAAUACAUUCUUUGUUCAACAAAAACAAAACGAAUCUUCAACCCCUCCGUAGAAGACUUAACAUUUCCAUGUGCAGUAAUGUCAGAUAUAAUUAAAAAAAAACUGGAGAGAACUCAAGAUAUUUGGAUGCAGAGGCACAAUAGAUUUUUAGACGCAAUCGUUUUCGCUUUUGUUUAAUUGAUUUCAAUUUUCCCGAUUUCACAGACAACCGAUUACGACGGGGAAUGCUACGUGUUUUUAACGCAGCAAUGAACGUUUUACCUCAAAAUUAAGCCUCUGUUUUAUCCUGUUGAUAAUUCAAAACAUCAAUGGUCGGGUAAACCAGGACUUGUAAUGUUAAGGAUGGACAGUCUUUUGAAUGUUUCUACUAGAUGCUUUUAAAAAAACGAAGCACAAUUCGUUUUACCACCGAUUACAUGAUACAAUUCUGUUAACUGAAUCACAGAUUUUGGAAUACAUUUAUUUCCUUCGUCUUUUCAAUUAGGUUGUCCAUCACGGUUAACUGCAAUUAUAAGUGAAAAUAGUUUUGGAAAAAUGGAAUUGACCCAAACUAUAGAUGUAUUAUACCCAAACUAUGGUCUACUGCUAGUUCCUGCAAUGGGAUUAAUGUUUUGUUUUGUUUUUUCUUUUUAUGCAGACAGGCAAAAGAGGAUGAGAGAAAAGAGGCAGAAAUUGAGUGCAAUUGUUGAUGAAUCUAAGUGGAAAUUCCCUGGAACCUAAAAGAGGAGAUAUUGGGAAGACUACAUACUGUAUGGAAAAAUCAAGCCCUGUUACUAUCUGAGGAAGAUGAAACAGGAAAUCAUACCUGCAGCUGAAGUAAAUGAUGAAGGAAAUGAUGUACUGUAAUUCAGAGCACCAGAAUUGUAUCCAGACACUUUAGUUUUUGUUUUGCUUUAAUUUCGCAAUAGUUUUGAUAUUCAUUUUCCAUUGGUGGUUUGUUUUAUGCAACAUACAUUCUGAUUUUUUCAGAAAACAAUGAGAUUAGACAAGGUAGGUGACUUUUUAUUAAAGUUUAACCCAUUGAUUUUUAGCAUUUUUGCCAUUUAAAUUAAAAGUUGUACUGCUUUGAGUAGUAGGAAGUACAUUGAUGAAUAUAUUUCUGAAUUAAUUUAAUGAAUUAAUCAGUCUUUGUUUUGUGUAACUUUGUUACAGUGAACAAUGUUUGGAAGAUCCAAUUGUAUACCAAAGGAAUUAAUCUAAUAAUUCUAAAAAAAACAUGUUCAUUGUGGUCAACUAAUGUAAUGUAAUUUUUAAUUUAAAAGUCUUUUUGCACUUACUGUAUUGAUGUCAAUAUUGUAUGAAACUUUCUAAUAAUAGAAUAGAAAUCAUUUAGGUCUUGAUAUGAUACACAGUCUUUUAAUUAUAAGUGAUUUAAACCCUUCUCAGGAUAAUGUGUGUGUGUUGACACUGUGUGUCUGUGAGUGUGUGUGUGUGUUGAGCCUCUUAGUUAUUUACUUCUCUCAGUCUGCUCUGUAUACACUAUAUGCUCUACUGUUUUUAUUUAAUGUUUCAUCUACUGUUAGUGCUGACUGUUUUAAGAAACAUUUUGUAAUGUAAUCUUAAUGUAUUCUGAUAUGCAUUUCAAGAUAAUUUGCAAAAAACAUGCAAUACCAGUGAUUUCUUCAAUCUUCUCUUUUAAAGCAAAUAUAAGUCAGUUUUUGGAAGUGAAUAAGUAUACUGUCAGACUAAAAGCAAACUAUAAACAGAUCUGGCAUAUUAAAGCAUCUGUCCUUAAUUAAGCAAAUUUUAGAUGAGUGGAAAGUUGUACAUUCUCUCGUGUAUCAAAAUACAAAGCAACAAACUAUGAUUAAAAUGAUUAUGCAGCUUGUUAUCAAAAAGCAAUAAUGUUUAAACAAUUAAAUUAGAUACCAUUUAUGUUAUGUUGGUCUAAUGUUUUUUGUACUUUCUCUGCAAUCAGUUUCAUUUUGUCUGUGCAUGUAAGCCUGUUUAUUUUUAAAGUUCAUUUCUAAAGUUCACUAAAGGUUCACUAAAACACCAUACUGUAUGUGCUAUGUGCUAAACUGUAUAUGAUUUUUGAAUGCGUGUGAUAUAAUAAAUCUGCUGUCACAGAAUUAUUUAAAUAAAAUAACAAGACUUCUGGAGUA